GCCAUCAUAUUCCUCUCCACUUCUUCUUCUCUCCGUCGCUCGAUCUAAAAUAAAAACCUUAAUUUAUCUGAUUUCAUUUUCCUUUUGGAGAUUGAAUAGGAAGUCCCAGUCAGUCAAUCGAUGUUUAUUUGGUCUCUCUAUAGAUCUCUAAUACCUAGUUCAGAAAAAAACAUUUAUGCUUCAAAUUGAUAGGGUACGCAGUAAACAGUGCGGUUUGCUAUUUCUAUGUUUUUGUUUUGUGGAUCACGAGUAUUUUGUUGUUACUUUGUGGAUUUAGGGCAUACCAAUUUGAUACUGAAACUGAUGUUCGAUCAAGUUUAAGCGGCUUGGGUUUUUUAUGGGAUGAGGGAUGUACAGGGGAUGAAUUUUUUUUCCAGAAAUGCACCGUUAAGAUGUGCAAGAUUGAUGAAGUUGAUAUAGAAGACUUUGUCUCUCUCCCAGAAUUAGAUGGUUGUCAAGGAUGGGUUAGCUUCCAGCACGCAGCAUCGAUGACAAAGUUUGUCUGGCUUUGUCAUAUAUAUCAAAUUGCAAAGACAAAUGCGUGGGUUCGCAUUCCGAAAGAUUUGUGGUAGUGUUGUUCUUUUUUUGAUUCCUGAAGCUCUAGUAAAAGUACACAUAUUUGUUCAUGUGAUUACUCUCCUUCUUCCUUGGUGCUUUGCCUAAACCUAAUCUGACUUUGAUUUGAUUUUGUGGCAAUCCACCUGUAAAGGCCUUUUCAAAUGAGUUUUUAAGCGCAAUUUUUUUGUCAUUCAGUUUUAUGUCGUUUAGUUGCAGGUAACUCUUAUAUCCCCAGCUGUGAUAUUCAAUAUCUUCGUAGCUUCGUUGUUAUGUAUUUUAUCUGAAUAUUUAAGUUGUGUGAUUACAUGUCUCCUGCAUUGUCUUUCAUCCACUUGUCAUACACAAUUCGUUUAUCUGAAUUAUCAUAAAACUUGGAUGCACCAUACCCAAUCAAAGAAAUUGAUGCAAGUUUUUUAAACUGUAAAUCCCUUUCGUACAUGCUGAGUUUAUUUUAGUGGGAUGAACUGCUGAGAAUCGUUAAAUAAUGCUAUAACUUGUUAAUGGAAUAGAAAGUUAGUUUGGAAUGAAGAUUCACUUUAUAUCCUCUACAUCCACCAUUGUUGUCUUACAAAAACUGUAAGUCGAUGCUUAUUGCUGUCGAAGGUGUUUUCAAGCUUAUGGUUGACCAUCCAUACUAGGAUGGGCAGCCAACUUUAAUCUGGCUUAUUAUUUGUUUUCGCAUUAUGUCUCAGUUGUGUUUUUAUUGUGGCCAUUUUUGUUAUUAAUGGUUAUUGUACGUUGUUUUAUCUGAUAUGUGGAGUUGUUCUCGUCUGUAGAUUCGGGCCACAACCAAACUUAAAGCUUUUAUUGAUGACGAUAAGCCUGAUGGUUGCAUUUGAUUGAGGUGAAAACUGAGUUCAUUCUGACAGCACCAAAGAUCUGCAAAUACCGUGAUAAGAGAUUGGUUGCUCAACGAAAUGGAAAACUGGCCAUACAAGUCUUUCAGAUGAUCCCAUGUAUGUAACGUGAAGUGUGGAUCAACUUUCUAAAUGGUUUACAUCUGGGCUAGCUGGUUAUCCCACUAUGUUAAGCGAAGAUGAAGCCUUGGUAAUUUAAUCAUGUUGAGUUUUCCGAUCUUAGACUGGUAUCCCAUUGUUGUGCCUUUCUGAUAAGUAGUCUGUGAUGAGUAUACCAGUCGACAAAUUCCAGCUUGGAGAGCCCCAAACAAAUGAGUUGUUUCCCAUCUUGUGAAGCUAAAAAGAAGAUGUCAACCGCGUUUCUUCAGGUUAAAGUCCAACUGAUAAAUCCAUGAUAUAUUAAGUUAUUUCUUAGCCUAUUUUGUAUUUGUGGUGAGAAGAUGUUUCUGGCAAUUGUGCAGCUUAAGAUAUUGUAUUAUAACUUGACAAGUACACAUUUCUUUAUGUUCUCUUCUUUUAAAGCCAAGUGACAUCCUCGCAACAGAGUUUGGAGGAGCCCUUGCAGUGUUAGCUUGGACAAGCAUCUUCAGUAAGCAAGUGCCGAGUAGACACAUAAUGAAAGUGGAGUUGGUAUUCUGAAACAUUGUUGGAGGCUUCCCUUCCGACUCUUUUAUGCCAACGCGUUUACAUGUUUUGAUUCUUCCUAAUUUCAUUGAUAUGUAUUCCUUAUUAUUAACUCAAGUAGAAUCCAUAUGUCAACAUAGAUGUAAAAUCUUAUUGGUUUUUCACGAUAUUAUCAGAUUCAAUGCCAUGUUUGGCAA